rnacentral:lncRNA from 1 species
GUUGAAGUAUUUGUUUGUUCAGUAGUUAGGUAUAUCAGAAUAACAUGAUAGGAUACGUGUGUGGGCGGGAAGAACGACUGAUGGAUUUCUCUGCAACAAGCGAUGUUUUUUUCUGAGUCAAAAUAAUUAUAUUUCGUAAUACUGGAAUGCGAUGCACAGUGCAUUCAGUGCACAGAGAGAUAAUAAUACAUGGUUUAUCAUCGCUGCUAUAUCAUGCCGAGUGAAAAGUUUUGUAUCAAAAGAAACAUUCAACUUUUUAUAUUAUAAUUGUAACCAUUUUAUGAGAGAUUUUUAAUUUUUUCACGUCCAAAAACUUAUGAAUCACGAAUAAGCAAGUUUCAUGUACAUAUAUAUUAAUUAACAAUUUUGUCACAAGAUUUUUUAGUGAAAUGAACAUCGAACGAGAGGACCAGCUAACACGAAAUAUAGCCAGUGCUUCUGUGUGAGACGAACUAAGCGGUGGUGACAAGCUUUUGGAAUGUGGGAUUUAGGGGGUAAAAAUAAAGUAAAAUAGUGGGAAUGGAUAAAAAAAAACACCCCGUGUCCCCUAAUCUCUAUUCCUAUACCCCAGUUGUCUUUCAAGCAGUGUUUUAAACAGUUUCCCGGGAUGAUAGUUGUUAGUUAUGUGUAUUGAAAUUUAAGCAAGCAUGAUUGAUGCUGUCCUCUACAACCAUUGUUUUAAAUCAAAUGUUCACGUCUGCUAACUUUGUAGUUCCGCUUUAAAGGGUUUAUUUAGUUUUAAGUGUGAAUGGAAAUAUUUCUCGGUCAGUGACAUACCUGGUUUUCCCCAAGUGUAAAAAUUAGUUUACCUUCGUUAAACCUUCAGAUCAUGUGAUCUGAUAAUACCAGCUCUAUAUCUUUAACUUUUGUAUGCAAAACAAAGAAAAUUUUAACCAUUUUUGUUUCCACAUCAUUACUUAUACAGUUAGCAC